CUGCUUUUAAAAUGCAGGUUUGAAGAUAUUCUCCUUUCAAGGCUUUUUUUUCAUCUCUGUUUCUCACUAGGCUCUCUGAAUUGCUUUUUUUUGUUUAGUUUGAGAGUGAUUUUAUUAUUUCCUGAAAUGAAGCAUCCUUCUGAAUUAGUCAAGACCCAAAAUACCUUGGAAGUGCCUAUAACUGAGCUUGCAAAAAGGAGAAAGUGUUUGCUGAAGACAUGAGAGCUGACCUGGAGAGACCUCACUGGAACUUUCUGACUUUUGAAACCGUCCCAGUACAGGACUGGCCUGGUGUGAGGUGGAGAUCACAGAAUUUUGCUUGCCAUAUCAGGACCCAAAUCCAUCAAAAGCUCAGGAAGCCUUGCUCCAGUGCACUCUGGCCAAAGAAGCUGGUUGUUUCUUCAAGAAGGUUUUAAAGAAAACAUCAAUUACACCGAGAGCUAUGGCUGUCAUCUUGUAAGUAAGAAUCAUAGAGUGAUUUG
rnacentral:lncRNA from 1 species